rnacentral:lncRNA from 1 species
GGUUAAAUGGAAAAUUUAAAUUAUUCUCAUAUAAUUGAAACAAGUCAUAAUAUACACUUCCAUAAAACUAAAAAUAAAUCACUAAUUCUAUUCAAUAAAAAUCACUAAUUACACAAAUAAAAUUAUUAUACAGGAGAGAUGUCACAAUAAAAAUAAUUGUUCUCUCCUUCAUCGAGUUGCGUUUCUGCCCCCCAAGAGUGAACAAGACACCUGUAAUCCAGCACAACCAACACAAAAUAUCAUCCGUAUGUGUUAUAUGUCUGGAUAAAUUUCACCAAGUUCAAAAUUAAAAUCAAAAUAUAAACUCAGCCAAACACAAGUUAAAACCUUCAAAUUGGAAAGACACAAGCAAUACCUUCAAUCAAGUGAUAAUAGUCGCAGAAGCUCGAGAAAUCAAUUUACAACCAACACAAAAAUAUCACUGGUAUGUGUUAUAUGUCUGAAUAAAUUUCACCAAGUUCAAAAUUAAAAUCAAAACAUAAACUCAGCCAAACACAAGUUAGAACCUUCAAAUUGGAAAGACACAAGCAAUACCUUCAAUCAAGUGAGAAUAGUCGCAGAAGCUCGAGAAAUCAAUUUGUACAGACUAAUGAGAGGCUCGGUGAAGACUUAGAGUCAAGAAAAGACUUGAGAGUUAACAGCUCUGCCCAUUUGUACCGUAGAGAUGACAAAAGGCUACAAAAUUCAAAAUAUUUACCAUUAUAUCUAUGGCAAAUAAAAAAAUACAAUAAUAGUAGUAUACUAGUGCUUAAUAUUCACCCAUAAUUAAUGCACAGCAGGACAAAUGAGACAGAGCAGGGAAGGAACUGAGGAAUUAAAAGAGGAACAAUUAAUGAACUUUUGGAUCCAAAUGUCAUCGGUAAAAUUCUAUAUUCCCUUGCAACUCUGUCUAAGCUUGUAGAUCUGCAACUGCAAAAUAACAAGUUUGAAGGUAAAUACCUGAAUUUAAACAAAAAGAACUGAAUAGCGAAUUUUAAUUCUUUUCUUUUCUUUUUCUCUAUCUGCAAAAUAUUUCAUUUAAUUACUUCUAGCAUGGGAAUACAAUAGAUGAUCUAAAUAAAUGAUUAAUUGAAGGAUAAUAAAAUGAAGUCCAGUUGGGAACUAUAACAAAUCAAUGGACGAAAAGAUUGUCAAUAAACUAAACACAACAGAUGAUCUAAAUAAAGAUUAUUUACUGCCAAGUAAUCUUUGUCUUCCAUCGUUAGCUAAAGCUCUAUUAGGUUGCUUUUCUCUUGUGUUCUUUUUUCUCUUAUAUAAAAAGUAAAGGUUCAAUUUCCAUAAAAUUACUCUCGAGGUUCUUGUUUUAAACCUCGACGCCAAAGGUUAGUAGUAAGUACAUAAGCAAUGGGCAUCAGUUAGUCCUGUUAUAGUCAUCUUAUAAGUUUUAUUUCUUCACCAACUCAUCACACUGCAAAUUAUAGUACAGUUAAAUUAUUAACCGCUAAAGUGUCGUCUUGAAUUCGUGUGAACUGGUUUUGCAAAUGUAUAAAUAGGAGCUUUGAGUUAAGAUGGGUGCUAUAAAAACUCAUAAGAUCCUAUGGGAAUCUGAAAUCUUAUUAGAGGUCUAAAAUGCUAUAUAUAACUGAAAAUUUGCAUAAAUAAAUUUAAACAUUAGAGUUUAUAAAUUUUAUUAAAAAAUAAUGAGUAUUAUUUGCAAAUGUUAGUGACAACUUUUAAGUUCUUUUCUUUCCAGCACCAAUUCCUUACUCAGUCUGGAGCAUGUAUGCCAUUACAAUCUCCUUAUAUAAUUACCAUGGGCAGUGUUAUAUGAAUUGCUAAUUACACAGGAUAAAUCAAUUACUCGACGAAUUAAUCACAUGUAAACCACAGACACUAACCUUGUAUAAUCCUUAGUAAUUUUCCUAUGACUCUGCACAACUUAUUCCAGGGCCAAACCACGCUAACACUGCCCAACACCACACCUUCGCUAGCUUCUCUCUCUUACGGGCAUUUACGGGGGUGUAUUCGAUUGGGAUUUUAAUGGAUUGUUUUUAGUCUAUGGAUUUUAAUGAUUGUAUGGGAUUUUGAUUUUGUGCGGAUUCUUGAUAAAAUGUCGCAGAGUUGAUGGGAUUUAGGUACAAUGCUUCAAAAUCCUAUUGAUUUUGAUGGGAUUUCAAAAAACUUAAAAUACACUGAAGAAUGCCACAAAAUCCAUCAUUUUAUGAAAUGAAAAAAAAUCCAUCAGCAUUUGAAU